AUUGAACGCUGGCGGCAGGCUUAACACAUGCAAGUCGAACGAGUGGCGGACGGGUGAGUAAUGUCUGGGAAACUGCCUGAUGGAGGGGGAUAACUACUGGAAACGGUAGCUAAUACCGCAUACCAUCGGAUGUGCCCAGCUGGGAUUAGCUAGUAGGUGGGGGAAAGGCUCACCUAGGCGACGAUCCCUAGCUGUUCUGAGAGGAUGACCAGCCACACUGGAACUGAGACACGGUCCAGACUCCUACGGGAGGCAGCAGGGGGGAAUAUUGCACAAUGGGCGCAAGCCUGAUGCAGCCAUGCCGCGUGUAUGAAGAAGGCCUUCGGGUUGUAAAGUACUUUCAGCGAGGAGGCGUUACCCGCAGAAGAAGCACCGGCUAACUCCGUGCCAGCAGCCGCGGUGAUUC
rnacentral:rRNA from 1 species